AUCAGAGCAUGCGGCAGGAGCAUUUAUCAGUUCCCGACAUUCCAGAAGGUCUUCCGUUGUUUUUGUGGAUUAAUCGGAUUUUAUUCUUCACCAUGCGCGCGAUCAUGAAGCUCCUCAUCUGCUGUGUGUUCAUGCUGUUCCUGGUGAACGUAGUUCCAGCUGCAGGUUCUACCACAGAACUCCUGUCAUGCUGCUUUCAGCAGCUUGGUAAUAGAUCAGUGGUGUACAUACUGAACAACACCGUGGAGUCCGAUUUCACACAGUGGACCAGAAACGUGAGCACAACCGAGCUGUAUCAUAUCACAUCACUGUAUCACAUCACUGUAUCACAUCACUGUAUCACAUCUGUUUCAUAUCACUGUAUCACAUCACUGUAUCACAUCACUGUAUCACAUCACUGUAUCACAUCUCUGUUUCAUAUCACUGUUUCACAUCACUGUUUCACAUCACUGUAUCACAUCACUGUAUCACAUCACUGUAUCACAUCUCUGUUUCAUAUCACUGUUUCACAUCACUGUUUCACAUCACUGUUUCACAUCACUGUAUCACAUCACUGUAUCACAUCACUGAUUCAUAUCACUGUAUCAUAUCAAUACUUUUUAUUAUACAUAAAGAAGAACUAACCCUGCCCCCUUCCCUUAAGUCCCACUGCUAAUGUUUAAAGGCUGAAUUAUAGCAAAAAACAGGAUGUGAUGUGGAUGAUAAUUAGAUAUUUUUAAAUGUGUAAAUAUGGAAUGUCACUGCUUUUAACACUAUUUCUAAUUCUCAAAGGAAAUUAUAAGCCUUAACUAUGUCAUGAGAAGUGAGUAUGUGAACGUUUUGUGCCUGUAAAUGCACAGGAAAGGCAUGUAACAGACACACAGUCACUGCUUGCUGCUGAUCUGAGAACUGCAUGACAAAAUGACAAGUGAAAAUAUCUUCAAUAUCAGUCAUAUUUAUCCCAUUUCCUCCUACAAGAUUAGAAUAAAUAAAGCAGAAGAUUAGUAAACAUUUUCUACUCAUUUCAAGCUUGAAAUAGAAUAGAAUUGAAAUGUUUUGUUGGCAGAUAUGUUGUUUCUAGUUUUAAGAAAUUUUAUAAAUGUAUUUAAUACAAUAAACAUUUAAUAGCUUUAAAUGUAUACAAGCCUCUUAAACAAGCUGAAUAAGAAAUAUUAAACAUAUUUGGCCAUAUUCAAGAUAUUUCCACUUGCUAAUAUAAAAAUUUUUUUGCAGUGAGUAUGGGUUUGUGUAACUGUGUGUAACUGUGUGUAACUGUGUGUGUGUGUGUGUGUGUGUGUGUGUGUGUGUGUAGAAGACACCCAUUAAGGAUGAACAUGGCAAUGUGGACAAGAGCAUUGUCAUAGGCUAUGGUCAGAACUGGAUCACUCUAAAUCAGAGUUACUUAGACAUUGUAUUCUACUUUCAGACAUAUGAUAUGAUGAAAAAUCAAGAAGUUCAAUGUACAGAUUUGUGUGAACCGGGAUCAGCUAACCUUCCGAUUGGAGAGAAGCAUGAGACAAAUCAGCGUGAUGGAGGUGACGGAGGUUUGUAUCACACGCAGAUAAACUUUGUUAUUUCUUGCAGCAGAUUGUUUUAGGAAUAGACAUAUGGUAUAUUUACAAAAAUGAUAUUUGUUGCCAGCGGUUUAGACAUUAAUGGCUGUGUGUUGAGUUAUUUUAAGGGGA
ensembl:lncRNA